AUAUUUCAGGUUAAGUCCACCAUGUUCCUUUCCUCAUGCAGCCCUGGUGAGUAAUGGCUGCAAAUAAGUCUCUGGGAGCAGAGUGUGCAGCCUAAGCUUGUCUGGGUUUCCAUGAGGAUCUGUGGAGACUGUU
ensembl:snoRNA SNORA70 Small nucleolar RNA SNORA70